GAACACAUUUGUAUAUCAAACCCCUAGAUCCUGCGGCCAGGAUCUAACCUCUCCCUGAAAAGAAAUGUGAGCCGUUGGAUGACUGAAUACAAAGCCACAAACAAACCCUACAAAACCCUAAUUUUUCACCAUCCAUCUUUUCAGACUGCUUCUGAUUCUCAAGACUCCUAUCUUCUCCACUGAUCACAGGGGCCACUCUCGGUGAGUAGAAGCUAUUUUCCGUUUGGUUCCUUAGAAAAUAGGGUAGGAAAUGCAUAAUUUUGGAUUAUAUUACGGUUUAUGUGGGUUUGUUUUGGUUCCUACUCGAAUGAAGUUGGUGGAAGUGAUUGUUUCUUGUUGAUUUCCGAGAAAAUAGAACAGCAGUUGAAAGACUUUUGAUCUUGUUACGUUUUAUGCUGUUCUGGUUUGGUUCCUAAACGAAUGAAAAUGUUCAUUUAAACCGAGAGAUUUCAGGUAUCUCAGUUUCCUUUUUUUUUUUUUUUCUCUGGACUUUCCUGGCAUCCAAACAUGGUUUUGUAGUUGGAGUUUACCUAUAAGUGAUUGUUGAUUUGUUUGCCCCUGAAAAAAGGGACAAAAUGGAAGAACCUUGGAUCUUGUAUUGUUUUAUGUUCUGGUUUGCCCCUGAAAUAUCGACUUUGAUUUUUCUUCUGGUGAAUCUAGGGUAAUGCGUUUCUUUGUUUUGUUUUCCAGUCAGUGAUUUCUUCAUGUAUAUUUGGUGCCUGACAAAAGUUUGAAUAUUCAAUUUUCUGUUUUUCCAGAAAAUGUGAGCUCUCCUAAGUUAAACCAGAUGUUUAUAUCAAGCUAUGCCGAAAUGGCUUUUUAAGGAUUCCCGUUUUCUUUUUCUAUGUAAAUGCUGGUUAUAGGGACAUCUAGGGUUUCAGACUAAAUUACUACUUCUGAUAAUCUUUAAUUAGUAUAGUUCCUUUGGUUGUUGAGAAAGUGGGGGAAAGAAAAUGGAGCCCUAAAUAUUAUUUUUCAAUAUGUUCUGGUAUUGAAAAAAAAUGAGCUGAAAAAGAGAGAUAAUCGAAUUAGAAUAGUUUGGUUUUUAGCUUUCUCUGAUCUCAAAUAAAUCUAGUUUAUUAUUAAUUUUCAAAUUUUUUUUACAUAUUUGCUGCGUUCAAUUUGUGUCCUACUCAAUGUUUUAAAUGACUGUUGAGGCUUACGCCUUGAGGCUGGCCUCGAAUCAAGGCUCUACAAAUUAGCCUUGGGGCUAUAGCCUUAAAUAGGGUAAUUGAGGCUUAGGCCUCACCCUAUCGAGGCUUAUAGCUUUGAGGCCUAAGCCUCCAAUAUCCAAAGGGUCUUCAGCUUUUAUGAGCUUUUGGUAUAUAUUUUAUAAGAGGCGUAAGUAUCAAUUUUCAAUGAGUUUUAAUGGGUCUACCAUCUAUGCUUUUGUGGACUUUUGAUAGAGAUUUUAUGAGUUUUGUAUUGGGUCCCUACUUGGUUAAGCCUUUUACAAAAUAAGGGCUUAGAUGAUUUCCAAUUAAUCUUUUAAAGGGUUAAUUUCAUUAAUUUCCCUUGAGGUUUUGGCUAAAUACACCUAGCCCUCAUUGGUUUGAAAUUUCAUCAAAUACCUCCCUUCCUUUCGUCAUUUGUUGUUUUCACUCACCUCCCCUCUAAUUCAAAAUAAGGGAGGUAUUUGACAAAUUUUCAAAUUAGUGGGGACUAACUGUAGUUAGCUAAAACCUCAAGGGAGGUGAGUGAAAUUAACCCAUCUUUUAAAUUGAAAGGAAAAAGAGUGAUUGAGAAGAAUAAGGGAAUUGAAGACUAUUUUUUAAUGGCUGAUCUCAUAAAUAAUCUAAUUAUUGAUAGAUCAAAAAAGAUACCACUACAAUUGGUGGAUAAAGAAGAAAAAAGAUGAGUGGAUAUUAACACUAAUGGGGAGGAUGAUAUAGCAAUUUGAAUAUAAUAAUGUUCC
rnacentral:lncRNA from 1 species